rnacentral:lncRNA from 1 species
AAGGAAUCCACAGUUCCCAGAACUACAUGAAAAGGUUCCUUCAGCCUUGAAAUAAUGUCAUAAUGUCUGCAGACACUCCAGCCAGCUUUACCAAAGUCAGUCGUCCUGCAGUGGUAACAGGUUUGUCGAUAUAGAUCUAAAUGUAUGUGCUGACUCAGAAUAUUAGUUGUUGUUGAUUAUUUUUUACAUUGAAAUGUGCCUGACACCAUGGAAACCUGCCGGUGAGGCAUCAGUGACGUAUGCCGAUAUGCCGCCGGUCUACAAAAAUACCACUAGACCAGCUGCGCUCCACCUGCGCUGAAAGCUGACAAGUUUUGAAUCGGCGAGCUUUCAGCGCACUUUAUACUCCACCGGCGGGCACUAAAAUGUCACUGGGCCAGCUGAUUCUGUCGACACCUCCCUCUGCCACGCCACCACGCCCAGCUUGGCGGAUCUCGGUGCGCCUCAGUCCACGAAAAUACCAAACUGGCUGUAUGCCAGGCUCCACCAGACGAAAAUACCACUGUGCGGGGUCCGCCACCCUCAGCCGCGUCGCCGGCGGGCACAAAAAUAGAGCCCUUGAUCUAAAAACGAGAGGUUAAACUAAUUUCACUGGAGUUUCAUGGCUUAGAUCAGCCCGUGACCACCUAGAUGAUUCUGAUGAAUAAUAAAACCAGAGUGUCAGGAUGUCUGAUACACCUGCUGAGAACACCUUCAUAUGACAGGUGCAGGCCAGAUCCUCCUGUGAACACACCAGCUGCCAACACACACACACACACACACACACACACACACACACACACACACACACACACACACACACACACACACACACCUGCAGACAUACACACCUACACUUGUGCGCGCGUAAACACACAUACACACACACACACAUGCACACACACACACACACACGCACACACACGUGAGAGAUAGAAACAUUUUUGAUUUUUAACAAACCUUUAUUAUCUUAACACCAAAUCAUCACACUUUAACCUUCACUUUAGAUCAUUAUUUAAGGAAAUCACAACUCAAGCUCCAAGCAGCUAAAAGUCUGUUUAAAAAUGCACAAUCAGCUGCGUGUCAUCUGCAGAAACAACACAUCAAUCAUCUUUUGAUGACUUCAGAUAUCAGAGCUCUUUUCUGUCUAUCCUGUCCACUAUUGAUCUUAAAGGACCCCAUCCUGAGGCUCUGCAUGAAGAGAGCAGAGAAUGAAGAGAAACGGACAGACCAGAAUGAGAACAGGACAGUUUGAAGAGUACAUAAAACUGCUCCACCUAGCUUGCACUCCACUGCCAAGUGACUGACUAUCUUACCCAGAAUACAUGUGGAGAGGAUAUUGAUGAUCCAAUCGUAAAUUUGCACGUUUUCAAGUAAAUUGUGAGAGUAAGAAAUUCUCACUCUGUUUCCAUGAUGCGGGCUGGGGAGAGGCCCUCAUAGCCUGGCUUCUCUGGGCCCCUUCUGAAGAAGUUCAGGUAUUGAUGCAGUUAUAGUUUUUGUUGUUAUCGCUCAUCUUGCUGGUUGUUUUUAUCCUCGAUGUUGCUGCAAAUGUUGCUGUUUUAGUUUCACUUGCCUGUUGCUGUAGUUUGUUUUGUUGCUGUGAUUUCAAUAAAAGUACACAUGGUUGUUGCUGAUGACAUUUUUAUUGGCUUCUUUUAUUGUUGUUGCUGUGAUUGUAACUUCCGCUGCAGAUGUGUUUUUUUUUGUGGUUGAUUUUGUUGUUGUGUUGUAUUAUAGCUGUUUUUUUUUUUUUUACUGUUGUUGCCAUAGUUUUUGGGGUUGAAGUUGUGCAAGAAAAUUUUUUGUGGUUGAUUUUGUUGUUGUACGGUAGUAUAGUGGUUUGUUGCUUUUACUGUUGUUGCCAUUGUUUUGGGGGUUGUAGUUGUGUAAGAAAAUUUUUUGAUGAUGUUGAUAGUCUUAAUUGCUAGUGUUUUUUUUUUUUUUUUGUUGUUCUUUUUUCUUACUGAAGUUGUUGCUGCAGUUUGAGCUUUUUGUUGUAAAUGUUUUUGUAACUGAAAUAGUAAAACAAUGAAAUUGUUGUUUUCAGUUGAUGUAAUUUGUUUUGUUUUUGUAAUAGUACAUGCUGCUACAGAUGUAGUUUUCACGUUUUGUGCCUCUAAUUCUGUUGUUUUGGUCGUACAAACUUCAUACAGUCUCUUCCCCUGGAUUACUGAGUAUCUGAAUCAGUAUUUAAACUUGACUCUUGAACUCUUUGCAUAGACAGAUAUCCGAUUAUUCACCGUUAAAAGCGCAGUGUCUCCUAAGCCAUCCAGCUAUUUGAUUGGUCAAAUGUUUUCAAGCUUUGACUUGAUUGGUUGAAAAUGUUGAUAACAGCUUGAACGUGGCUCCACCACAAGCGUGCACGCCAGGGUAUGCGACUACUUGCUCUAUCAACAAAGCCGGAAACAGAUGGAUUGUUGACUCGUCCUUCAAAGUAAAAGCAGGACUUGCCUUGAGAGGUAAAUAUGAUUAACAGUAAGUAUUGAACAUUGAGAGAAAAUUGUAGGAAUUUUACUUGUUACUACUCAUAAAUGUAAAAUUUGCUCUGUAAACACUGAAACACUGCGAAGUAGUGUGGCUACAAAUUUACUCUGAAGGUACAGACCGGAAAUGAAAUAGUAUAAACGUACAUGUGUAUCGAGGACAACAGAGGAAGUUUCUGUAGCUGCUCGCAAGGUCUGUGAACCGCUUCUCUCUGAGGUCUCUGUGGACUCCCACAGUCCGGAUCAGAUCCUCUGCUGCUUCUCCUCCUCCUCCUCCUCCUCCUCCUCCACUACCUCAUCUCAUUCUUGCUGCCUGGAGCUGCUGCUCUACAGGUAAGAACCCCUUGACAGCUGGCCGGUCAGAAAGACAACCGAACCCCGUUAAAAAAUUUACUGAUUAAAGCUAUUCUCGCGAAAUAAACAAUGAUAACGCGUCUAACAUCCUCAUAAUUCAUACUCACCUGUCUGCGUGGAGGUAGAGUUCAGUUCGGCUUCAAGCUGACAUCUGUCAAAAGCCUUCACAUCCUGUCAGCCCAUCAUCCCAAUGAGAGACCAAACACCUGCACCUGCUGUCAUGAAAGCUGCAGAGAUUUUAAACACCUGUCCUGUUUGCUCUACUUCAACAAUGUUCUCAGUAAAGUCAAAUAGACUUUAAGAGUCACACACACCGUGUCAUUACACUGUUAUUUUACAGGAUAUGCGUGUGUGUAUUUGUGUAACUUGCCCCUGAUUUUAUCUUAGUGUGAGGAUUGUAAAGUCAGAUAAAACUGUGUUUGUGGGUUGAUCAGGAGCUCUAGCAGUUUCCCAUGUUCCUGCUCUCAGCCUGCUCUCAUACACUGGUCCACUUCUUGAUGUUCUCUGUAUUUCUAACACUUUUCCCUGUUUAAGAUAACAGACUUAUGUUUACAGUGGGAUUUAAAAAUGUCACCUGGUGUUACCGAAUUGGCUUGACUAAUUGAUAUACACUCACUGAUGGAUCAGUCACUGCACACAAAAGGAAUCCACAGUUCCCAGAACUACAUGAAAAGGUUCCUUCAGCCUUGAAAUAGUGUCAUAAUCAGGAGCUCUAGCAGUUUCCCAUGUUCCUACUCAUUUAGAUAGAUGUUGAUGAAAUGCAUUCUGGGAGUUGUAGUAGUUCUCACACUGACAACUUUUAUCCCCACAGGUGUAUUCAGUGUUAAAUUUGUGUAGCAUUUGAUUAGAUUGAUUAGAUUUAUUCUUUGGAAUUUACAGAAAGUUCAAACCAGAUUUUAGUUUUUUGUCAAUUUUUUUCAGUUAAAGACAGUGGAUAUUUUUAUAGAAAUAUUUCCUCUGGGCGAAGAAAGAAAUCCUAAUUCUGUUUAGUAAUCUUGGUUAAAUAUGUUCCUAAAUAAUACACCAAUAUCCAGCAAACAACCAGAAAUUAAUAAGCCGUGGGUUCAAGUCAGAUAAAAGAUGUAAGUUUGCAAUGAUAAAAUGCAGCUGUUGACUGAUUUUUUUUGUACAAAACCCAAUUCCAUUGAAGUUGGGAAAUUGUGAUGAAUGUAAAUAAAAACAGAACUACUUUGGCACAUGUUGCAGCCAUGAAAUUCUGAGUUAAUUAUUAUUUGCAUAAAAAAAAUAAAGUUUAUGAGUUUGAACAUUAAAUAUCUUGUCUUUGUAGUGUAUUCAAUUGAAUAUAGGUUGAAAGGGAUUUGCAAAUCGUUGUAUUCUGUUUUUAUUUAUGUUUAUCACAAUUUCCCAACUUCAGUGGAAUUGGGUUUUGUAAUAAGCAUGAUGGAAUAAUGUUUCAUUAUAAAGCACUAUGUCUCAAAUAUAAUAUAGCUCCGAAAUUGUACCUCCAUCUUGCUGUCACAGCAGCAAUGGCUGCUAAAAUUGUAAUGAAAGAAGUCACAUUUCACCAACACAAAUUCCCUCUUCACAGCAUGUUUAGUUAUUUCACUGACUGUCAAUAUUUGCUGAGUAACUUCGGGUCUGAAUAUAAGAAAUAAGAAAUCUGGCUGACAUGUAUUGUCAUCCAAUCAUCAUAUUUCAUGUGGGGGGUAAAGAUGCCUGUCUGGUAUCCAAGUCAACACUUCUUAGGAGAAUAAAUCCAGUCCUGUUGUUAUCAGGUCUCACUCCAGACCAACAGUUGUUUUUCACUGUUUGUGGACAUUAGCUUAGAAUUUACACACCUGUACCACCAGGUUACCUGGGAUCUCUACUGCUCUCCAAAUUAACUAGAACUUUCUCCACUUCACCUUUUUUCCUCUGUAAACUCUGCUUCACAAAGCAGUAGUAGUAAUUGAUGCUGUCAGAAUCACAGAAUCUAGUUUGGUUGUAUUAUUGUCUUUUUGAAGCCUGCUGCUUUUAAAAGAGGAAAUCUGAGUCACAUCCACAACAACAUGUUGGGUCAGAGUCUCUCAAAAUAGCUAAAUGAUGUGGUAGUCAGCCCUCUCAGCAGAAAACUAUAGCCUAGCUUGAGUAGCGCUUCUUCUGGCAAUUCCUCAUUGAAGAGGCUGAGCUGACAGGC